rnacentral:rRNA from 1 species
GACGAACGCUGGCGGCGUGCUUAACACAUGCAAGUCGAACGGAAAGGCCCUGCUUUUGUGGGGUGCUCGAGUGGCGAACGGGUGAGUAACACGUGAGUAACCUGCCCUUGACUUUGGGAUAACUUCAGGAAACUGGGGCUAAUACCGGAUAGGAGCUCCUGCUGCAUGGUGGGGGUUGGAAAGUUUCGGCGGUUGGGGAUGGACUCGCGGCUUAUCAGCUUGUUGGUGGGGUAGUGGCUUACCAAGGCUUUGACGGGUAGCCGGCCUGAGAGGGUGACCGGGCACAUGGGGACUGAGAUACGGCCCAGACGCCUACGGGAGGCAGCAGUGGGGAAUAUUGCACAAUGGGCGGAAGCCUGAUGCAGCAACGCCGCGUGCGGGAUGACGGCCUUCGGGUUGUAAACCGCUUUCGCCUGUGACGAAGCGUGAGUGACGGUAAUGGGUAAAGAAGCACCGGCUAACUACGUG